rnacentral:rRNA from 1 species
GACGAACGCUGGCGGCGCGCCUAACACAUGCAAGUCGAACGGAGCUUGCUUGUCAGAUCCUUUCGGGGUGACGACUUGUAAGCUUAGUGGCGAACGGGUGAGUAACACGUGAGUAACCUGCCCCAGAGUGGGGGACAACAGUUGGAAACGACUGCUAAUACCGCAUAAGCCCACGGAACCGCAUGGUUCUGGGGGAAAAGGAGCAAUUCGCUCUGGGAUGGACUCGCGUCCGAUUAGCUGGAUGGUGAGGUAACGGCCCACCAUGGCGACGAUCGGUAGCCGGACUGAGAGGUUGAACGGCCACAUUGGGACUGAGACACGGCCCAG